rnacentral:lncRNA from 1 species
UUACACUGUCCACUUAGCCACCCAUUUUUCCCACUGCUUACCCACAACAGAUCUCGGUGCUGCCUAGAGGUCUGGAAUUUUUGUUUUCGCCGGAAUUUUUCUGGCAACCCCUGCACCUUUCCUUUUUAUUCUCUCCUCUGCUUUUGUGGGUGUGUUCUGUUUUCUUGGACAGGUGCCUAUUUCGUUUCUUGGGUAGGUGCCUAUUUCACCGGCGAGGAUCUCCGGCAACUCUCGUUCAGACUCGCGGCAGGACGCAAUUGAGCUGCACAUUCUGCUAAGCUUCAGGAAAACUUGGGCGAAUCAAAGCACACUUUCAGGUUUUUCC